GGGUGCGCGCUCAGACGCGGCGCGAGCGCCAGGCAAGCUGCGGCUGCUGCCUCCCACGCCUCUCCAGGUGCACUCGGCGCCGCCCCCCUGCACCUGGCUGCGGUGCCGAGUCACUCAGGCCUGUGUCAGGGAGAGAGGGAGGGAGCUGCCCUGGAAAGCAGACACUGACAGUGAGGGGUGGCUGGACUGGUCCAGAUGAAGGCUGAUUUGGAGUCAAAUCUCUGGUUUUCUGGGGCGUUUGAAACCAUACCCCAGAGGCAUCAACUGGCUACCUCAGGGGAACUGGCCCUGCAGGCUCCAUUUGAAACCCCCUUGAUAUGAAAAUAUUGACGCCUCUGUUCGCAUCUCAUCUCAAGUUACCCA
rnacentral:sRNA from 1 species